UGGAUCUCCAGGGAGUGGAGAGGAACCAGAGAUGAGUUCAAUCACCCGUGGCCAAAGUUUUAAUUAGUAAGGCCUGUGUAAUGAAGCCUCCAUAGAAACCCAAAAGGACUAGGUUCGGAGUUUCCAGCUUGAUGAACAAGAGUGCAUGGGUGUACCUCUGAGCAGGGCCCCAAAGUCAUCAGAGACAGAAACUCUUGUGCUCGGGACUUGUCCUGUGUAUCUCUUCAUCUGGCUGUUGAUUCAUAUCCUUUAAUAUCCUUUGUAAUAAACUGGUAAUCUAGUGGAUAAACAGAUUUUCUGAAUCCUGGGAGCCGCUCUCGACAAUUCCUCGAACCCAAGAAGAAGGUUGUGAGUAGCUCCGAUGUGUAGCCAGACUGUCCAUAGGACAGUUAACACAUGAGGUGUGGGACUGGCGUCUGAAGUGGGAAUGGUCUUAUGGGAGUGAGUCCUCAACCUUUGGGAUCCGAUGCUCUCUCCAGGUGAAUAGUGUCGAAACUGACUUGAACUGUAGGACACCCAGCUGAUGUAGAAGAGCUGCUUGCUGUGGAGAAAGAACCCACACAUCAAAACUGGUGUCACAAUCGGUCUAAUGUUAUUGAUGUAAUUGACACACACUCUCAGAGAUAGAAGAGUGAUUCCUAAAGAGGUAAAUGUGUUGCUUCUUUUCUAGGAAGAAGGUUAACUUGUGCUACAGCAUGUUAGCCAUAGGCAGACACAUUGAGAGAACAAAAAGAAAUAGGUGAGAAAAUACAUAGAAGGCAGAACUUGAGGAGCCAUGAGGAAAGCAGAGAUCGCCUGGAAGCUAAAGGAACUGGAAAGGCCAGAAUACGAAGACGGCAUCUAUCACCGUCAUGAAUGAAGGGCCUCGGCCUCUCCACAGCACGGACUGAGGAAACGCCCGGGCAUCCUGGGGAGGAGAGAGCCGGAAGAACCCUGCUCCUCGGUGACCAAGCAGCCACCUAGGGACAUCCCACCUAAAAACAGUCUCCACAGAACAUGAGAAGAAGAGGAGCUUCCCUCCCCGUCAGCAGGCAGCAGGCACAAAGGUAAGAGGUUAAGCGGUAGUACCUCCAGGAAUGUUUGAGGCUGUCACUGGAUCAGGACACCGCAUGGAUGCC
rnacentral:lncRNA from 1 species